CUUGUAAAAAAAAUCAACUGCAACAAGUACUUUGAUACGGAGGGAGUAUUUGCAAGGAAAAGAUCAUCUUUCUUGUCCUCUAGAAAUUUUAUGAACAAGCAGCUUCAUGCUAGAGCAGUAGAGCACCUGAGACAAGGAAAGGUCAUGCAAAAAUGGAAGUUUUAAGAUAGAAAACGGACCACAUCCAUCAGCAUCACAGGAGUACGAUACGACGAGAGCUAGACUCAUGUGCAAGCUCCAAACGAUGCAGUGAUUAUUUACUGACGAAUUAAAUGGUGAAAUAUCCGGAAGAUAAUCCAAUCAUUUACUGGAAUCACGAACAUAUAGCAAUCUACAAAGAAAUUCCGGGAAUGCAUCUAAGUACAUGGUAGCACAGGAUAAUGUUCACAUUAAACUUAGGUCUCUACCCAAAUCUGAACAAGUGUCUAAAGCACUGAUGCCAUAUUUUAGUUACUCCAACUCCUUCAGAUCUGCUUCUGUUCGGCACUUGGCCAGAGACAGUAUCCAAACUUGGCAAAAUUAACAUGAGGAUUUCAUGUCAGCUUUAGAGCUAACAAACUUGAAUCGCCUCAGGCACCGCAGAAGCAUCAUCGGCGACAAAAUCACACACAAAACAGUUUCAACCAGAUACGGUCCUACAUAUAGAAGCUAGUAAUUUAUACAUUGAUUGCUUGGUUCCUUGGAUGCGGUAGGCACAACCCAACAGUCUGCAGAGAGACCGUAAUCACCGUCAGAGGUCCUUGAAAAGAGCAAUGGAAUGUGUGUUACUUGAGUGUAGAACGUUAAAAAAUCGUAGCAGCAGAAAAGAUACCAAACAAUAAAUAUACUGUACAACAGUAGAGAGUUCAUUUACCGCAAAUUAGAUAAAAAGGGCUUUCGAGUGCUAAGUACAUAUUUACUUGUCAAGAUGGAUACAAGGAUUAUUUGCAGAAUAAGAUACUAUAUCUUGUUUUUCUUUUCUUGAUAUAAAUUCCCUAAUGAGAGAUGAUCAAUGGCUACAUUCAAUUAUACUUAUAACUUCACUGAACAGCCCUCAUAGCAAAUUAUGAGCAAUUGGAGAAUCAAAUGUGUCCCACAAAAAGCAAUGGAUUAGACAUCAAAAUAUAAAACAUUGUAAAGUGUAGCGGUCUUUGUUUCUUGGAUUAGGUAGAAGGCAGGCUAUGGAGUGCUAGGUACUCCCUCUGUUUUUAUUUGUAAGACAUUGUCUAGUGUAAUUUUGAGCUAAUCAACGACUUACAUAAAAAAAUGGAGGGAGUACAUAUCUAGGGACUACUUGCCAAGAUGUAUAUAAGGACUUUUUUUUGUGAACGUGCAAGUGUUUCAUUAAGAGGAAAGAGAAGUAAUAACUAUUUGAAGAAUAAGAUGCCAGUUCUUGUUUUUUUUUCUUGAAUAAAUUCCCUAAUGAGAGAUGAGCAAUAGAAUAGCUACACCCAGUUACACAUAUAACUUCAUUACAGCCCUCAUUGCAAAUAUUGGCGAUUGGAGAAUCAAAUGGACAUCCCACAGAAAACAACGAAUCAAAACUCAUAGAAACACAGCAUAAACAAGUGGGCAAAGCGGGUGCACAGCGAACAACCCUGCUAUACAUAUGACCCAUUCAUACAACUGUUACAACCAAGAGAUCAGAUAGUUGAGAUCACUUGGUUUGUUGUUCCUUUAUUAAUCAAAGGGUCCAAGACACCUUGUCAUAAAAGAGUCGUACGAAUGAGUUGUAUGUGAAGCUUUUUUUUAACGUAAAUAUGUGAAGCAUUUUCCAACAGCAAAAUACAUAAUGGCACUAUCUAAAAAUACUACCUUAGAACUAAAUGCACAGUUUCCAUGGAGAAAAACCAACUAGCUUAAAAGAAGAAAGGCCUCGCCAAUACAAAAUUAUAGGAACAAAACACUCAUAAUUAGCUAAUAUUUGAGGGGUAUUGGUCCAUACACCACUGCUAUAUGGCACCCUGAUACAACAUCCGAACUAUUAAGAGUAUAAAAUCUACAUGCCAUUUGUCCUUGAAACAUGAGCAAUGUAGUGUCGCAAUUUACUAUUUUCUGGUAAACAUAAUUCAGACAUAGCGCUGUUCUCUUUUUCGCGACACAGACAUAGCAGGAUUCACAGGUCGCCAUUGAAAUGCAUUGAAAAAAAGAUUCAGUGCACUAUAGUAGCAUUUAAUUGACCAAACAUGAAAUCAUUGGACUUAAUGCUGAAAGUGAUAUCAAACAAAAAUGACUACUCUUUAAGUAAUGUCUGACAAGUUGGCUAACCUUAAAAUGUAUCAAACUGCCCUGAAACCAACCCGUAAGUACUUGUCCCCCCUAGGAAGAUAACAAAGAAUGAAAGGGAAACAGUAUUGAACAAUCCCAGCUGAUGGGAGGUUUAAAAAGGUAGCAGAUGAGCUGGAAAUGCACCAAUAAAAUUCUAGCUAUGGGUUGGCAAGAUGGGAAUUAAAAAGAGUAUCAACUUCAGUAAUAAUAUGAUGCCAAUUCACUGGAAAUGCACUUGACCACAAAACAAUUGCUUGAUGGAUGAAAUUUGACUUAUUCAAUUUGCCAUCCUUCAAUUUAGCCUAUAAACGACAAAAGAUUCUCAACUUUACAAUCAUAAUUCACAAACAUGCAUUGACCGCUAUCUAAUUUAUAUUUAAAAGUUCAUCUAGGUACUAGCAAGAAAUAAGAUUGU